UAAUACGGAGGGUGCAAGCGUUAAUCGGAAUUACUGGGCGUAAAGCGCGCGUAGGUGGCUUGAUAAGCCGGUUGUGAAAGCCCCGGGCUCAACCUGGGAACGGCAUCCGGAACUGUCAAGCUAGAGUGCAGGAGAGGAAGGUAGAAUUCCCGGUGUAGCGGUGAAAUGCGUAGAGAUCGGGAGGAAUACCAGUGGCGAAGGCGGCCUUCUGGACUGACACUGACACUGAGGUGCGAAAGCGUGGGUAGCAAACAGGAUUAGAUACCCUGGUAGUCCACGCCGUAAACGAUGUCGACCAGCCGUUGGGUGCCUAGCGCACUUUGUGGCGAAGUUAACGCGAUAAGUCGACCGCCUGGGGAGUACGGCCGCAAGGUUAAAACUCAAAUGAAUUGACGGGGGCCCGCACAAGCGGUGGAGCAUGUGGUUUAAUUCGAUGCAACGCGAAGAACCUUACCUACUCUUGACAUCCUGCGAAUUCGGUAGAGAUACCUUAGUGCCUUCGGGAACGCAGAGACAGGUGCUGCAUGGCUGUCGUCAGCUCGUGUUGUGAAAUGUUGGGUUAAGUCCCGUAACGAGCGCAACCCUUGUCCUUAUUUGCCAGCGCGUAAUGGCGGGAACUCUAAGGAGACUGCCGGUGACAAACCGGAGGAAGGUGGGGACGACGUCAAGUCAUCAUGGCCCUUACGAGUAGGGCUACACACGUGCUACAAUGGUCGGUACAAAGGGUUGCCAACUCGCGAGAGUGAGCCAAUCCCGAAAAGCCGAUCUCAGUCCGGAUCGGAGUCUGCAACUCGACUCCGUGAAGUCGGAAUCGCUAGUAAUCGUAGAUCAGAAUGCUACGGUGAAUACGUUCCCGGGCCUUGUACACACCGCCCGUCACACCAUGGGAGUGGACUGCACCAGAAGUGGUUAGCCUAACGCAAGAGGGCGAUCACCACGGUGUGGUUCAUGACUGGGGUGAAGUCGUA
rnacentral:rRNA from 1 species